UAAUUUAAUCCUAUAUUCCCCUUUCCAAUUUCCUGUGCAUGGGUGGUUUGCUAUUUAGACAUUUCUCUGAUGCCAAUCUUUAGACAAAUACAUUAAUUCACUAAAAGAGAAGGCAGCAGCUUUUACUAAUUUCGGUCGUUUUUUGGUGCCGUUGAAUUGUACACCCCCGUAUGUACGACUCCAAGUAUGUACGACUUUAAACCAACACCUCCUUCAGCCUAAAUCUCCCCCGCAUCUGCUCACACCACAGACUGAAGUGAUUCACAUUAUGAAAAUCUCACUGUUAGCAGAGGUUUCUGCACAGAUCCCCCACAAAAGUGCUUGGACAUUAUUUGGUCGUAUCGUGAAACGGGAUGGAUGCAAGACUGAGGCAUCUAUUAACACCCAGGGUGUAAGUCAUGGCUGCCAAGAAAACCUCUCAAAAGGAUGAUCUCAGUUGAUUUAAUUUAUACUCUUUUAUAAUCGAUGGUGAAGUAUUAAAGAAGGUUUAAGAUAAUCGAAGCCUUUGAUCCAGGUUAAAAAUGGAAUCAAUUGUGCCUGAAGGAAGGGCCAAAUAUGCCAUGAAGACAAAGAAGACAAUGAUUAACCUUGUGCUGGUGUCAACAGGGAGGAUCAAGCUUUGUCCAGGCAGCCUGCAGUGAGGCUAAUAUAGAUAGCCUGUAAAGCCGCAAUCAUCCAUUCGGAGGGAUCACCUUCAAAA